CCCCUCGCUCCACCUCCCGCGUAGCCUGCGGGCCCCUGGCGGCCCAGGGCAUGGGGCAGAGACGCCAUGCCGGCUGAUACACACGCCCGGAGGAGGUGCGGCCGGCGGGGGACAGGGAAAGAGAUCACAGCGAAGACCCAGAAGAAACAAAAGGCAAGCGAAUAUUUUUAUAUCCAACUGCCUACUGGACACCAACCACGUGGACAAGUCCUGGUUGCCUCAAACUCAACAUGUUCAAAGCUGAAUACAUCACCUGCUCUCCCAAAUAUGCUCCUCUCCUGCUGUUCCCAAAAUCAGAAAAUGGCUUCACGAUCAGCUCAGUCAUCUCAAGAGCAAAUGCUGAGAGUCACCCUUGAAUCCUUCUGUUGCCUCCACAUUCAAACCAUCACCAUAUCCUUGAUUUCUCUACUGUAUAUUUUUCAUAUGUGUCCACUUCUUUCCAUCUGCACUCUCAUUAGUGAAGGCCACCAACAUCUCUCAUC
rnacentral:lncRNA from 1 species